rnacentral:rRNA from 1 species
AACGAACGCUGGCGGCAGGCUUAACACAUGCAAGUCGAGCGGGCCCUUCGGGGUCAGCGGCCGACGGGUGAGUAACACGUGGGAACGUACCUUUUGGUUCGGAACAACUCCGGGAAACUGGAGCUAAUACCGGAUAAGCCCUUAGGGGGAAAGAUUUAUCGCCAAAAGAUCGGCCCGCGUCUGAUUAGCUAGUUGGUGGGGUAACGGCCCACCAAGGCGACGAUCAGUAGCUGGUCUGAGAGGAUGAUCAGCCACACUGGGACUGAGACACGGCCCAGACUCCUACGGGAGGCAGCAGUGGGGAAUAUUGGACAAUGGGCGCAAGCCUGAUCCAGCCAUGCCGCGUGAGUGAUGAAGGCCUUAGGGUUGUAAAGCUCUUUUGUCCGGGAAGAUAAUGACUGUACCGGAAGAAUAAGCCCCGGCUAACUUCGUG